rnacentral:sRNA from 1 species
ACCAGGUCUCACCUCGCUCCUGGGCAGCUACGCGGAGAACUGGGGCACUUUGUUUUAGUAAAAUCGGGGGUGAAGAUGGAGAUAUUCGCUGAGGUUUUCAGUCACUUCUUGUUGCAGUUAACAGAACUGACACUGAAUAUGUGCUUAGAACUGCCAACGGGCUCUUUGGAGAAAAGUCUUAUGAUUUCCUCACAGGUUUUACAGAUUCCUGUGGGAAAUUCUACCAAGCAAUGAUAAAACAGCUAGACUUUGUGAAUGAUACAGAGAAGUCCACAACACGUGUAAACUCCUGGGUUGCUGAUAAGACUAAAGACUUCUCUGAUGGAUGACCUCUGUGAAGCAAAUGGCACUUUUGCCAUCAGCUUAUUUAAAAUCUUGGGGGAAGAGGACAACUCAAGAAACGUAUUCUUCUCUCCCAUGAGCAUCUCCUCUGCCCUGGCCAUGGUCUUCAUGGGGGCAAAGGGAAGCACCGCAGCCCAGAUAUCCCAGGCACUUUGUUUAUACAAAGACGGAGAUAUUCACCAAGGUUUCCAGUCACUUCUCAGUGAAGUUAACAGAACUGGCACUCAGAACUUGCUUAGAACUGCCAACCGACUCUUUGGAGAAAAGACGUGUGAUUUCCUUCCAGACUUUAAAGAAUCCUGUCAGAAGUUCUAUCAGGCAGAGCUGGAGGAGUUGUCC